rnacentral:rRNA from 1 species
GACGAACGCUGGCGGCGUGCUUAACACAUGCAAGUCGAACGGAAAGGCCCUGCUUUUGUGGGGUGCUCGAGUGGCGAACGGGUGAGUAACACGUGAGUAACCUGCCCUUGACUUUGGGAUAACUUCAGGAAACUGGGGCUAAUACCGGAUAGGAGCUCCUGCUGCAUGGUGGGGGUUGGAAAGUUUCGGCGGUUGGGGAUGGACUCGCGGCUUAUCAGCUUGUUGGUGGGGUAGUGGCUUACCAAGGCUUUGACGGGUAGCCGGCCUGAGUGGGUGACCGGCCACAUUGGGACUGAGAUACGGCCCAGACUCCUACGGGAGGCAGCAGUGGGGAAUAUUGCACAAUGGGCGGAAGCCUGAUGCAGAAACGCCGCGUGCGGGAUGACGGCCUUCGGGUUGUAAACCGCUGUCGCCUGUGACGAAGCGUGAGUGACGGUAAUGGGUAAAGAAGCACCGGCUAACUACGUG